rfam:Wallemia sebi CBS 633.66 unplaced genomic scaffold WALSEscaffold_19, whole genome shotgun sequence.
GGUCGCUUAACUCAGUUGGUUAGAGUGUGGAGCUAAUAUGCGGAAUAUCGCGGAUACUCCAAAGCCACAAGUUCGAGCCUUGUAGUGACCA